CCGGUGGCGAAGGCGGCCCCCUGGACAAAGACUGACGCUCAGGUGCGAAAGCGUGGGGAGCAAACAGGAUUAGAUACCCUGGUAGUCCACGCUGUAAACGAUGUCGAUUUGAAGGUUGUUCCCUUGAGGAGUGGCUUUCGGAGCUAACGCGUUAAAUCGACCGCCUGGGGAGUACGGCCGCAAGGUUAAAACUCAAAUGAAUUGACGGGGGCCCGCACAAGCGGUGGAGCAUGUGGUUUAAUUCGAUGCAACGCGAAGAACCUUACCUACUCUUGACAUCCAGAGAACUUAGCAGAGAUGCUUUAGUGCCUUCGGGAACUCUGAGACAGGUGCUGCAUGGCUGUCGUCAGCUCGUGUUGUGAAAUGUUGGGUUAAGUCCCGCAACGAGCGCAACCCUUAUCCUUUGUUGCCAGCGAUUCGGUCGGGAACUCAAAGGAGACUGCCGGUGAUAAACCGGAGGAAGGUGGGGAUGACGUCAAGUC
rnacentral:rRNA from 1 species